UGAACGGAGUUCACUUCCGGCCAUUGUGUCGUCGUCGCCGAUUCAUCCCGGGUAUUGAUUUGUGUCAUUAUACUAGUUGGCCAGUCCUAGAGCUGAUGCUACCCCUAAAUUACACAAACCCAACUCUGUUUAUCAUCUUCUUUUUCGUCAUCUUUUCAUGAAAUCUCUUCCUCUCUCAUGGGUGUCGGUUUCACGGAUUGGUGGAGAAAUAGCAGGUGUUGAUUGAAACUAAAUAGGUAGGGUUAUGAUUCACUGAAAGAUUGGGAGGUUUGUGAUGAGAAUGAGAGGAUGAAAUUAGGGUUUAGAGAGUACAAGAGAAAGCAUCCACACACGCAUCCUGCAACAACACCUACAUUCAAUAACAGUAAACUUGAAUCACCGGAAGCUUGUAGGCUUUACGUCACAAACUUGAUGCACAGUUACUUCUUUCGAAUUUUCCCAAGUUUUUGAAGAAGCUGAUAACUCUAUGAAGGUUAUAUCGUCCCCCGUUGAUGCAGUGACAGAUACAUAUGGAACCAGUGGCGGAGCCACACUUUGAACAACGGUGUCGUCCGACACCAUUGAAUUUUGUGUAGCAAAUACAACGUAUAAUAGGAAAAAUUCGAGCGACACCAUUGUUUUUUUACGGGCGACACCAUUUUCUUUUUACAAAUGACACCAUUGUUUUGUUUUCUUCUAAAAGAAUUACAUAAUAAACAAAUUUAUAUUUCAAAAAUUAAGCACAGU
rnacentral:lncRNA from 1 species